AGCUAGGGUUAGGGUUUGGGUGCGGAUGAGGUUAUUUAUACCCAUCCGCUUUUGAUCUCAGCCAUCCAUCGCUUUUAAUUUGGACCGUCUGAUCGCGAUUAAAUAGAAAAUGAAUCGGGACCGUUCAUCGUGAUUCAAUCUGGCCCGUCCGUGCACGAUUCAAUCUGGACCAUCCGUGCGCGAUGCAAUUUGGGUCGUCCAUGCACGUGGAAGCGGAUCUGAAUCGUUCGUAC
rnacentral:lncRNA from 1 species